AUCCGGAUGACGAGUCCCAAAUAGGACGAUACGCGCAUUCUGGAU
rnacentral:hammerhead_ribozyme from 1 species